GACCGUAAGCGAAGUGGACUUCACAGGGUAUUCCGCCAUCUUAAGUGAGAUUCCAAUCGGAAGGGAGCGAACAUGUUCAGUUCGAAGGGCACUACGCACGGCACAGGGAAUAAGGGAACAUCAAUACAUCACUUCAUAGAAAGUGGAGAGCGAUUAUCCCCCAACUGUCAUUGCGCGAAGCACGUCAUUACCAGUCAGAACGGCCGUCUUCGCUGACUUCAUUCAUAUUCAUUACGGAUUGUAAAAAGGGCGUUCCAAAUGAGCAGUUAUUGCCAGUGAAGUCCACUUCAACUGAUAUACCGUGCUCAGGGAGUAGGGAGCAGUGAACACUGCGUAGGGACCCUGUCGAAUGGAACGCACCUAGAGACACUAAUGAUGGGAAGUUUGGAUCAUUAUACUGACUCUGACUUUUGAGUCACGUUCAGCAAAAUGAAAGAAUCUUUUUUUGAGUAAUUUCGUUCAUUUUAGCAAAAUGUAAUUAAAAUGUUACGUGUUACUUCCCCAACACAUCUAGUAACGUUACUUAAGCAAACGUUGAUCACACUACAAACAAUACAAAACUAAAAUGCUAUAAAGAUACAGAAAAGAUUAAUUAAUUAUUUACCUGGGUCUUCAGUCUGUGAUUUGGAUUAACUCACCUCUUGUCUGACAAGUCUUCAGCUUCAAAUCAUUCCUUAAUCACAUGACAGAUCCAUGCGCUAUUUCUGACAUUUCUGACAUUUGUCACUGUUUUUGUUACUGUUUCUUCUGGAUCUGUGGUGUUAUUAUUUUAUGAAUAAAUAAAACCUUGUUAUAAAUAAAAUAUUGAUUAAUUUGUC